UUUGGGCUUUACCCACUAUAU
rnacentral:snRNA from 1 species